AGUGAACGCUGGCGGUAGGCCUAACACAUGCAAGUCGAACGGCAGCACAGUAAGAGCUUGCUCUUACGGGUGGCGAGUGGCGGACGGGUGAGGAAUACAUCGGAAUCUACUUUUUCGUGGGGGAUAACGUAGGGAAACUUACGCUAAUACCGCAUACGACCUACGGGUGAAAGCAGGGGAUCUUCGGACCUUGCGCGAUUGAAUGAGCCGAUGUCGGAUUAGCUAGUUGGCGGGGUAAAGGCCCACCAAGGCGACGAUCCGUAGCUGGUCUGAGAGGAUGAUCUGCCACACUGGAACUGAGACACGGUCCAGACUCCUACGGGAGGCAGCAGUGGGGAAUAUUGGACAAUGGGCGCAAGCCUGAUCCAGCCAUACCGCGUGGGUGAAGAAGGCCUUCGGGUUGUAAAGCCCUUUUGUUGGGAAAGAAAAGCAGCAGGUUAAGACCCCGCUGUUCUGACGGUACCCAAAGAAUAAGCACCGGCUAACUUCGU
rnacentral:rRNA from 1 species